ACCGGGCACGGUGGCGCAUACCUGUGGUCCCAGCCACUUGGGAGGCUGAGGCAGGAGGAUUGCUUGAGUCUAGGAGUUCUGGGCUGUACUGCACUAUGCCAAUCAGGAGUCCAUACUAAGUUCUGCAUCAGUAUGGUGACCUCCCGGGAGCGGGGAACCACCAGGUUGCCUAAGGAGGGGUGAACCAGCCCAGGUGAGAAACAGAGCAGGUCAAAACUCCCGUGCUGAUCAGUAGUGGGAUUGCCCUGUGAAUAGCCACUGCACUCCAGCCUGGGCAACAUAUCGAGACUCCAUCUCUA
ensembl:misc_RNA Metazoa_SRP Metazoan signal recognition particle RNA